rnacentral:lncRNA from 1 species
AGGUGUUUCCAGAGGGAUGGAUUCAGUCACAGAGGUUUCCAGAGGGAUGGAUUCAGUCACACAGAGGUGUUUCCAGAGGGAUGGAUUCAGUCACAGAGGUGUUUCCAGAGGAUGGAUUCAGUCACACGGAGGUUUCCAGAGGGAUGGAUUCAGUCACACAGAGGUUUCCAGAGGGAUGGAUUCAGUCACAGAGGUGUUUCCAGAGGGAUGGAUUCAGUCACAGAGGUGUUUCCAGAGGAUGGAUUCAGUCACACGGAGGUUUCCAGAGGGAUGGAUUCAGUCACACAGAGGUUUCCAGAGGAUGGAUUUAUUCCUGCACACAGAGGUGUUUCCAGCCUGGCAGAGCUGUCAGGGCCCUGUGGUUUCUGCAGCCUGGGGAGCAGCCAGGAGGCAGCUCAGCCUCUGCUCCAUUCAUGCCUUCCCUGAAUCACAUUCCUGUGCCCUUAGUCACCCUUUGGUUGGCUCAGCUACAAACAGGCUGCAGUUUGUUCCCUUUCCUGCCUCCCCAGCCCUGCCUUUGCUGGGAGUCCCAGCUCUGCAGCUCCAGGCACGGGCUCUGCCUGCCUGGGCAGGGAAAUGCCCUCAGGAGGGGCUUCCAAGCCCUCGGCAGGGUGGGCUCCAUUUCCAGCAGGUGCCCGUCAGGGGCUCCUGGGAAUGGUUCCAUUCCCCCUCUGCAGGUUUCUGGUUUGUAUUUCUUGUUUCGAGGCGUUGUUUGUGCAGCGGGGAUGGGAAGUGGGGAGGUGUGAGAGCAUUCCCACCAGGAUGUGCAGCUCCUGGGGGUUUGUUGGGGCUGCCUCUAAGGUUUGGUGAUGGGCCACGGGCUCAGAGGCUGCAGGAGCCCCGAGGGCUCGGCUGGGGACAGGGAUGGAGGGACAGGACACAGGGAUGGAGGGACAGGACACGGGGAUGGAGGGACAGGACGGGGGGGGGGGGGGGGGGGGGGGGGGGGGGGGGGGGGGGGGGGGGGGGGGGGGGGGGGGGGGGGGGGGG